rnacentral:rRNA from 1 species
GGAUUCCCCUAGUAACGGCGAGUGAAGCGGGAAGAGCUCAAAUUUGAAAUCUGGUGGCCUCAGGUCAUCCGAGUUGUAAUCUAUAGAAGUGUUUUCCGUGCUGGCUCAUGUACAAGUCCCUUGGAACAGGGCGUCAUAGAGGGUGAGAAUCCCGUCCUUGACAUGAACUACCAGUGCUCUGUGAUACAUUUUCAACGAGUCGAGUUGUUUGGGAAUGCAGCUCAAAAUGGGUGGUAAAUUCCAUCUAAAGCUAAAUAUUGGCGAGAGACCGAUAGCGAACAAGUACCGUGAGGGAAAGAUGAAAAGCACUUUGGAAAGAGAGUUAAACAGUAUGUGAAAUUGUUGAAAGGGAAACGAUUGAAGUCAGUCGUGCUCUUUGGAUUCAGCCGGUUCUGCCGGUGUACUUCCUUUGAGUGGGGUCAACAUCAGUUUUGAUCGCUGGAUAAAGGCGGGAGGAAUGUAGUACCCUCGGGUAAACUUAUAGCCUCUUGUCACAUACAGUGGUUGGGACUGAGGAACGCAGCAUGCCUUUAAGGCCGGGAUUCGUCCACGUACAUGCUUAGGAUGUUGACAUAAUGGCUUUAAACGA